rnacentral:rRNA from 1 species
CCUAUGCUCACCAUAGGGAANGCGGUCGAUACUGUAUGGCUGGAAGCGAGUGGGGGAAGACGGAAUUCCCGGUGUAGCGGUGGAAUGCGCAGAGAUCGGGAGGAACACCUAAGGCGAAGGCAGUCUUCUAUGCUUUGCUUGACGCUAAACUGCGAAGGUGCGGGUAUCAAACAGGAUUAGAUACCCUGGUAGUCCGCACAGUAAACGAUAAUCACUAGGUGUUGGCAGGAUAUACCUGUCAGUGCCGUAGCAAACGCGGUAAGUGAUUCCCCUGGGGAGUACGAUCGCAAGGUUGAAACUCAAAGGAAUUGACGGGGGCCCGCACAAGCGGUGGAGCAUGUGGUUUAAUUCGAUGCAACGCGAAGAACCUUACCCGGGCUUGACAUCCCAAGGAGUUUCCGGAGACGGGAAUGUGCCUUCGGGGAACUUGGAGACAGGUGCUGCAUGGCUGUCGUCAGUUCGUGUCGUAAGAUGUUGGGUUAAGUCCCGCAACGAGCGCAACCCCUUUGUUCAGUUGCCAUCAUUAAGUUGGGAACUCUGGAGAGACCGNUCCAGUACCAAUGCAGAGGAAGGUGGGGACGACGUCAAGUCAUCAUGGUCCUUAUGUCCGGGCGACACACGUGCUACAAUGGCAGUUACAGAGGGAAGCUAAGGGGUGACCUGGAGCGAAUCUCAGAACAGCUGCCGCAGUUCGGAUUGGGGUCUGCAACUCGGCCCCAUGAAGCCGGAAUCGCUAGUAAUCGCGUAACAGCAUGACGCGGUGAAUACGUUCCCGGGCCUUGUACACACCGCCCGUCAAGUCAGCCGAGUGGAGUGCACCCGAAGGAGGUGAGCUAACCCGCAAGGGGAGCAGCUUUU